CCCAGCACCCCCCUCUAGCCAACAAGCAGACUCCACUCACAUUUCCGCUGCCAGUAUGUGACUCCGGAGUUUGGCCUAUGGUAUACCCCAGAUGGCACCGUCUGCACCCUGUGCCAAAUCUAAUCCUCCUGCUACUUCUUGAAACCCUGUGAAGGUGGAGCACGUCAAUGUCAUGUCGGAAUGUGACGUGGUGUUGCGUGCCUCCAUGUAAUCCAUUGUCAAGUCGCAGCCAAUGCAACACUGACCAACACACACACACACUCACUCACUGACAGACACACACACACUGACAGACACACACUCACAGACACACUCACAGACAGACACACACUCACUGACACACACAGACACACACACACUCACUGACAGACACACACACACUCACUGACACACACUCACUGACAGACAGACACACACACUCACAGACAGACACACUCACUGACAGACACACAGACACACUGACACACGUAGUCACUGACAGACAGACACACACAAACAGACACACACACACUCACAGACAGACACACUCACUAACAGACACACUGACACACAUACUAACAGACACACUGACACACAUACUCACUGACAGAGACACGGACACACAUUUACACAUUGCAUAGUUACAUAGCUGAAAAGAGACUUGUGUCCAUCAAGUUCAGCCUUUCUCACAUUUGUUUUUUGCUGUUGAUCCAAAAGAAGGCAAUAAAACCCAGUUUGAAGCACAAUUUUGCAACAAGCUAGGAAAAAAAUUCCUGCUUGACCCCAGAAUGGCAGUCCGUUAUCCUUGGAUCAAGCAGUUAUUGCCCUACAUUGAAAGAUUAUAUCCUUGAAUAUUCUCUUUUUGCAAGUAUGCAUCUAGUAGCUGUUUGAACAUCUGUAUGGACUCUGAUAAAACCACUUCUUCAGGCAGAGAAUUCCACAUCCUGAUUGUUCUUACAGUAAAAAAACCUUUCCUUUACCUUAGACGAAAUCUUCUUUCUUCCAGUCUAAACGCAUGGCCUCGUGUCCUAUGUAAAGUCCGGUUUGUGAAUAGAUUUCCACACAAUGGUUUGUAUAGGCCCCGAAUAUAUUUGUAUAAUGUUAUCAUAUCCCCUCUCAGGCGACGUUUUUCUAAACUAAAUAGGUUUAAAUUUGUUAACCUUUCUUCAGAGCUGAU